CUCUUAUGAAGAGAGGCGGAGGGACUGGCCCUAUGAAGCCCGGCAACCAUUCAACAGCUUUGUUGAAAAGGUGCUAAAUCCUGCAAAGCGUAAUGCUUUGACAAAUAAGAG
rnacentral:ncRNA from 2 species